UUAAUAGAUGAGCCUAAGUCGGAUUAACUAGUUGGUGGGGUAAAGGCCUACCAAGGCGACGAUUUGUAGCGGGUUUGAGAGGAUGAUCCGCCACACUGGGACUGAGACCCGGCCCAGACUCCUACGGGAGGCAGCAGUGGGGAAUAUUGGACAAUGGGGGGAACCC
rnacentral:rRNA from 1 species